UACAGAGGUCCCAAGCGUUGUUCGGAUUCACUGGGCGUAAAGGGUGCGUAGGUGGUCGGGUAAGUCUGAUGUGAAAUCUCCGAGCUUAACUCGGAAAUGGCAUUGGAUACUAUCCGGCUUGAGGGUCGGAGGGGGGACUGGAAUUCUUGGUGUAGCAGUGAAAUGCGUAGAUAUCAGGAGGAACACCGAUGGCGAAGGCAGGUCUCUGGGCUGUAACUGACGCUGAGGAGCGAAAGCAUGGGGAGCGAACAGG
rnacentral:rRNA from 1 species